UGCUCUGACAUAGGAGAACGAUGCAGUGAUCAAGAAAUAGCCCAUUUGGUUUGCCAGUUUCAACCACAACUUUGCAGGAAAACCUGUGGAAUGUGCGGAAACAGCUACCGGUCUACCACUACUAUGCCUGUGGUAUCGCACGCAUGCGCAGAUCCAAUACCGGAGUGUCAAUGUAGUUACCUGGACCGAGAGUUAUCCAUAUGCUCUGAUGCUGAUCCUGAUAUGAAGAUGUUCUGUUGUUAUUACUGCAACAAAAAAGAAAACAGAUAUACGUGUCCUGAUGCUCAGUGUCGAAAGGUGGAACAACACGAGUUUCACGUGAUAGAGCAUCUGCAUCAAAGUAUCACGUGUCAUGGCGAUGUCCAAUGAGAGCGGUCUGUACAUCACGUAUUUGUUAUAUAAAGUUAA